rnacentral:rRNA from 1 species
AACGAACGCUGGCGGCAGGCUUAACACAUGCAAGUCGAACGCCCCGCAAGGGGAGUGGCAGACGGGUGAGUAACACGUGGGUACGUGCCCUAAGGUUUGGAAUAUUCCCGGGAAACUGGGAGCAAUACCAAAUGUGUCCGUAAGGAGAAAGGUUUAUCGCCUUAGGAUCGGCCCGCGUCAGAUUAGGUAGUUGGUGGGGUAAUGGCCUACCAAGCCGACGAUCUGUAGCUGGUCUGAGAGGACGACCAGCCAAACUGGGACUGAGACACGGCCCAGACUCCUACGGGAGGCAGCAGUGGGGAAUCUUGGACAAUGGGCGCAAGCCUGAUCCAGCCAUGCCGCGUGGAUGAUGAAGGCCCUAGGGUUGUAAAAUCCUUUCGUUGGGGACGAUAAUGACGGUACCCAAAGAAGAAGCUCCGGCUAACUUCGAGCCAGCCGCCGCCGUAA